rnacentral:rRNA from 1 species
GAUGAACGCUAGCUACAGGCUUAACACAUGCAAGUCGAGGGGCAUCGGGAAGAAAGCUUGCUUUCUUUGCUGGCGACCGGCGCACGGGUGAGUAACACGUAUCCAACCUGCCCUUUACUCGGGGAUAGCCUUUCGAAAGAAAGAUUAAUACCCGAUGGCAUAAUGAUUCCGCAUGGUUUCAUUAUUAAAGGAUUCCGGUAAAGGAUGGGGAUGCGUUCCAUUAGGUUGUUGGUGAGGUAACGGCUCACCAAGCCUUCGAUGGAUAGGGGUUCUGAGAGGAAGGUCCCCCACAUUGGAACUGAGACACGGUCCAAACUCCUACGGGAGGCAGCAGUGAGGAAUAUUGGUCAAUGGGCGUUAGCCUGAACCAGCCAAGUAGCGUGAAGGAUGAAGGCUCUAUGGGUCGUAAACUUCUUUUAUAUAAGAAUAAAGUGCAGUAUGUAUACUGUUUUGUAUGUAUUAUAUGAAUAAGGAUCGGCUAACUCCGUGCCAGCAGCCGCGGUAAUACGGAGGAUCCGAGCGUUAUCCGGAUUUAUUGGGUUUAAAGGGAGCGUAGGUGGACUGGUAAGUCAGUUGUGAAAGCUUGCGGCUCAACCGUAAAAUUGCAGUUGAUACUGUCAGUCUUGAGUACAGUAGAGGUGGGCGGAAUUCGUGGUGUAGCGGUGAAAUGCUUAGAUAUCACGAAGAACUCCGAUUGCGAAGGCAGCUCACUGGACUGCAACUGACACUGAUGCUCGAAAGUGUGGGUAUCAAACAGG